CUUCAUAAAUGCAACUUUUGCAAAUAUGGCUUUGUUUAAACACUUCUAGUUCAUAUAUUAACAAACUUAUGUUAGAUAUAUGGUUAGGGAUGAUACUGUUGUAACAUGAAUUCUAAACUGACCAUUUUAGGCAGAAAUUGUGAACUUUCAUUGACAAAUAGGCAUACAGUAAGAUGUGGACUGGAGACACAGGCAGGAUUGGAUACUUUGUAUAAUCUUGAAUGUUGGAAUGAUUAACUACUAAACAUUACAUUUAUAGUAUUUUAAAAUGCUUUCAAUUUGUUAACUGAAUAGUUUCAAACAGGUUUUAGACAGUUUAUGUCAGAAAACAUGCACAUAGGGUAAGCUGGCAAUAAUUAAAGUCUUGUUUUCAAAUUCUUUAAAAAAUUGAAACAGGGGUAGGGGUAUAAAAUGUACUGUAAAAGGAAACUUAGAGUAUAUGCAGUGAUUUCUUUAAGGCUAUAAUUCUGAUAAAUAAGUAUUGUUGUGAGAAAAAGUGUUUUUAGAGAGUUUUUUAUUUGAAUACAUGUUUGUA